CCCCAAAUACCAUCAACCCUAAUAUAAUCACCCUAAAUGCUCAAUAGCGCGGCCAGAAAAAACCCAAAAAAGUCUGCUUUCAAUUUAUUUCGGGUUGGUUGCUUGAUUAAGCUUGAAGCCAUCCACUGAUAUGUUCGUUGAUUAGUGUUUGAGUCGGGAAGUUCGAAUGGGGGUUGCUUAAUUAAGGCUGGAAGUUGUUUCUGUUAUUCGAUGAAAGUGGCACUUACUAUAAGAAG